AUCGAACCCGGGACCACAGGAUCACAAGUCCAGUGUGCUGUCCGCUCGGCCGACCGGCUCCCGUGGCUGGCUGGCUAAUCUGCGUAUCUUCCAGACCCAGCAAUUAAAAUAAAGAUAUCGCAAUCGCUAAUUUGUAAAUGCUGAAAUCUAUACGAGCUCGCGAAAAUAGUAUAUGCAACGCAUUUCAAAGAAAACGUUUGCAAAAAGGCUAAAAAAAAAAAAAGUUUCAAUCUAUAUAAUGCCUUUUUUUUCCAUAGAAUUAAUGCCGGAAAAAAAGACCAGAUUGACAAAAAAAUAUUAAGAGCAUUCUGACCUUAAGAGUUUGCUACAAGGAACCAAAGGUUUUUUGUGUGGCAAAGAGCCAAUGACCAAGAAGUGGGCGGAGCCAGAGGGCGAGCGGAACUAUGGAACCCGGGUAUAUAAGGAGCUGCGCCUUGUCCCUCCUACACACACUCAACAAGAAGCCGUCAACGCUAACUCUCCUCCUUCAACAUGAAGUUUUUGUGCCUUGUGGUGGUGGUGGCCCUGGCCGCCCUGAUGGGGUCAGCCCGAGCUAUGCCUGAACCCUACGCCCUGGCUGACCCUGACCCCGCGGCUGACCCACAAUUUGGAUUUGGUGGAUUUGGGCGCGGCUUUGGAGGCGGCUUUGGUGGGCGCGGCUUUGGAGGCGGCUUUGGACACCGCGGCUUUGGAGGCGGCUUUGGACACCGCGGCUUUGGACACCGCGGCUUUGGAGGCGGCUUUGGUCAUCGCGGCGGUUUCUUCGGCUAACCUUCAACUGUACACCACCCUCGACCUUCUCGCUAGCAAUGGAUCCUGACAGAAAAACGUAUAACAUCAAACCAAUUUACGAAUCCACGUUAGAAUCCAUCUGAAUCCACCAAGCUAACAACCUAAUACAAAAAUCUACGACAAUUCCGAGCCUCCAGCGCGGCAAGAGAUCGCACUGGAGGGAUUCUGGACAACCUUUACUGGCCCUAUCAUCCAGCUCUCAACCUCAGCCUCCACUACACUAGAGGAAUCUUGAAUCUCAAGAUCAAUAAACUUCUGAUAUCUAGGUAUUGUCCAACUGAUUCUUCAGACAUUACUGUUACAAAAAAAUGCUUGGGGAAAAUAAAUGUAUUUUUUCAUA